AUGAACGCUAGCUACAGGCUUAACACAUGCAAGUCGAGGGGCAGCAUGGUCUUAGCUUGCUAAGGCCGAUGGCGACCGGCGCACGGGUGAGUAACACGUAUCCAACCUGCCGUCUACUCUUGGACAGCCUUCUGAAAGGAAGAUUAAUACAAGAUGGCAUCAUGAGUCCGCAUGUUCACAUGAUUAAAGGUAUUCCGGUAGACGAUGGGGAUGCGUUCCAUUAGAUAGUAGGCGGGGUAACGGCCCACCUAGUCUUCGAUGGAUAGGGGUUCUGAGAGGAAGGUCCCCCACAUUGGAACUGAGACACGGUCCAAACUCCUACGGGAGGCAGCAGUGAGGAAUAUUGGUCAAUGGGCGAGAGCCUGAACCAGCCAAGUAGCGUGAAGGAUGACUGCCCUAUGGGUUGUAAACUUCUUUUAUAAAGGAAUAAAGUCGGGUAUGGAUACCCGUUUGCAUGUACUUUAUGAAUAAGGAUCGGCUAACUCCGUGCCAGCAGCCGCGGUAAUACGGAGGAUCCGAGCGUUAUCCGGAUUUAUUGGGUUUAAAGGGAGCGUAGAUGGAUGUUUAAGUCAGUUGUGAAAGUUUGCGGCUCAACCGUAAAAUUGCAGUUGAUACUGGAUAUCUUGAGUGCAGUUGAGGCAGGCGGAAUUCGUGGUGUAGCGGUGAAAUGCUUAGAUAUCACGAAGAACUCCGAUUGCGAAGGCAGCCUGCUAAGCUGCAACUGACAUUGAGGCUCGAAAGUGUGGGUAUCAAACAGGAUUAGAUACCCUGGUAGUCCACACGGUAAACGAUGAAUACUCGCUGUUUGCGAUAUACGGCAAGCGGCCAAGCGAAAGCGUUAAGUAUUCCACCUGGGGAGUACGCCGGCAACGGUGAAACUCAAAGGAAUUGACGGGGGCCCGCACAAGCGGAGGAACAUGUGGUUUAAUUCGAUGAUACGCGAGGAACCUUACCCGGGCUUGAAAGUUAGCGACGAUUCUUGAAAGAGGAUUUCCCUUCGGGGCGCGAAACUAGGUGCUGCAUGGUUGUCGUCAGCUCGUGCCGUGAGGUGUCGGCUUAAGUGCCAUAACGAGCGCAACCCUUGUUGUCAGUUACUAACAGGUUUCGCUGAGGACUCUGACAAGACUGCCAUCGUAAGAUGUGAGGAAGGUGGGGAUGACGUCAAAUCAGCACGGCCCUUACGUCCGGGGCUACACACGUGUUACAAUGGGGGGUACAGAGGGCCGCUACCACGCGAGUGGAUGCCAAUCCCAAAAACCUCUCUCAGUUCGGACUGGAGUCUGCAACCCGACUCCACGAAGCUGGAUUCGCUAGUAAUCGCGCAUCAGCCACGGCGCGGUGAAUACGUUCCCGGGCCUUGUACACACCGCCCGUCAAGCCAUGGGAGCCGGGGGUACCUGAAGUGCGUAACCGCGAGGAGCGCCCUAGGGUAAAACUGGUGACUGGGGCU
rnacentral:rRNA from 1 species